rnacentral:lncRNA from 1 species
UAGAACUCCUGUUCCACCUUGCUCACGGACCACUACAAUCUUCUUUGGAAAGGUUCUCGAUGCCCGAGACAAAAGGAACCCUUUACUCCACCGUGUUUGCUUCACUCAAGGGCGUUGGCACUGCCUCCCGGCUUGAAUUCUGGAGGACAGAACGGACCACAAACAGACAUGCCGAAACACAGAUAAGUGAAGUGCUACCAGGAGAUGACUUGUGAGACGUGGAAAUUCAAACAGUGACGUAGUCCGGGCUGGUUUGGGCUGAGGGCCCUUGAACUUGGCCUCGAUGAUGCAGAACCAGAGAGGAAGACCCACCCCGGGGAAGUAGGAUCUUUAGACCAGAGGGAAGGGUUUUGAUGGCCAGAUGGAAGCUCAUUAAAUUUACUAAUGUGGACAAAGAAAUCCAGAAUGCACCUCCAGUGCAAUAAAGUUAUUUUGAGCUGAAGACA